rnacentral:ncRNA from 1 species
NNNCAUCCGCUAACCGGUUCAGCCGUGUCGGGGAGGUUUUUUUUCAACCAACUAAUGUUCCCUGCAGGGGAACGGAGGUCAGCG